GGGGCGGUGGCUCAGUGGUAGAGUGCUUGCCUUGCAUGCAUGAGGCCCUGGGUUCGAUUCCCCAGCACCA
rnacentral:tRNA from 1 species